rnacentral:rRNA from 1 species
AUUGAACGCUGGCGGCAUGCCUUACACAUGCAAGUCGAACGGUAACAGGUCUUCGGAUGCUGACGAGUGGCGAACGGGUGAGUAAUACAUCGGAACGUGCCCGAUCGUGGGGGAUAACGGAGCGAAAGCUUUGCUGAUACCGCAUACGAUCUACGGAUGAAAGCAGGGGACCGCAAGGCCUUGCGCGGACGGAGCGGCCGAUGGCAGAUUAGGUAGUUGGUGGGAUAAAAGCUUACCAAGCCGACGAUCUGUAGCUGGUCUGAGAGGACGACCAGCCACACUGGGACUGAGACACGGCCCAGACUCCUACGGGAGGCAGCAGUGGGGAAUUUUGGACAAUGGGCGCAAGCCUGAUCCAGCCAUGCCGCGUGCAGGAUGAAGGCCUUCGGGUUGUAAACUGCUUUUGUACGGAACGAAAAGACUCUUUCACCCGUGACGAUAAUGACGGUAACGGGAGAAGAGGCCCCGGCUAACUUCGUGCCAGCAGCCGCAGUAAAAC